GGAGUCAUGUUUGGAUGGAGCGACAGGCACAUGGAUUUCCUGCAUGGAUUUCGUCCUUUUGGAUUUAUGGCGGCGGAAAGGAAGGAGCGAGGGUGUUGAGCGCAGGGGAUGGAGAACCGUGUCUCAUCCUUCCUCAAGUACCAGGGCAGAGUUGGGGUAUCGCCUAAGGAAGUGGCUGAAGCUGCCUUGCACUGAGGAGAAGCUGUCAAGUUCCUGUCAAGAUCCUCAGCAAAUCCGUACUUGUGAUGGAAUAAUUGACGGAACGUCAGGCAGUUAAGCAAUUAAGACACGCUCCGCUGACUGACAGGCCUCCUAUUUUCGCAGCUAUCGGAGACUGCAAGGAGUCGUCUGUCUUGGGCCUCUUGGGAGCAGGAGGGUCAGACGGGACCUACACCAAGCAAGAGAGAAAAGAAAAGAGAAAGGUUGAAUGGGCGGUUCUCGUUUUUAAAUGGCAGUGAAAAAUGGCAUCACGUGGAGGUCAAGCAACCACCGGCUCAAGCCCGAUACAUUGAAGUGAGGCCCAACCUUUUGGCUACCCACCAUGUAUGACGAAGAAAAAACCCCCUAAGUAUCUACCAAGGCAAGAAACAAGACCAGCAGAACAGAGCUGCAGAGAGGAGACCUUCUCAAGAAGAGUUUCUGCUCCUGCCCCCCGUCAAACUGGUCUGUUGCCUCCUCUUCUAAUUGUCUGCAGAAAGCUGCAGAAAGAACUUUGUGGUCGAGGCUCGUGUCGGGACACUUGGGGCGCCGAGAGGGGCAGGGUCUACACACGAUGGCCAUACUGGAAUAACACCACCGAAACAUAAAGACGAACCGUAUCGAAGCACCGCUGAGAACAAAGCAUCGGCUCCUGAAGGAAGGAUCGGGGCCGAGGCCGGGACCGGAGAAAUGCACCAUCGGCCACCCCACGAAGGCGCAACCCCCUUGCAUUGUGCUUUCCCUGGGGCACUCUGUUCUGUGGCGAGGCAAUGGGAACACCACUCCUUAAAGCACUCCUA